CCCUUAGAUGUUCUGGGCUGCACGCGCGCUACACUGAUGCGCUCAACGAGUUUACGACCUUGCCCGGAAGGGUUGGGUAAUCUUUUUAAAACGCAUCGUGAUGGGGAUAGAUUAUUGCAAUUAUUAAUCUUUAACGAGGAAUUCCCAGUAAGCGCGAGUCAUAAGCUCGCGUUGAUUACGUCCCUGCCCUUUGUACACACCGCCCGUCGCUACUACCGAUUGAACGGUUUAGUGAGGGCCUCGGAUUGGUCUCGGCCCGCUCUUUACCGGGCGGCGCCGUUGGUCGAGAAGACGCUCGAACUUGAUCGUUUAGAGGAAGUAAAAGUCGUAACA
rnacentral:rRNA from 1 species